UUGAAGAGUUUGAUCAUGGCUCAGAUUGAACGCUGGCGGCAGGCCUAACACAUGCAAGUCGAGCGGUAGCACAGAGAGCUUGCUCUCGGGUGACGAGCGGCGGACGGGUGAGUAAUGUCUGGGAAACUGCCUGAUGGAGGGGGAUAACUACUGGAAACGGUAGCUAAUACCGCAUAACGUCGCAAGACCAAAGUGGGGGACCUUCGGGCCUCAUGCCAUCAGAUGUGCCCAGAUGGGAUUAGCUAGUAGGUGGGGUAACGGCUCACCUAGGCGACGAUCCCUAGCUGGUCUGAGAGGAUGACCAGCCACACUGGAACUGAGACACGGUCCAGACUCCUACGGGAGGCAGCAGUGGGGAAUAUUGCACAAUGGGCGCAAGCCUGAUGCAGCCAUGCCGCGUGUGUGAAGAAGGCCUUCGGGUUGUAAAGCACUUUCAGCGGGGAGGAAGGCGGUGAGGUUAAUAACCUCAUCGAUUGACGUUACCCGCAGAAGAAGCACCGGCUAACUCCGUGCCAGCAGCCGCGGUAAUACGGAGGGUGCAAGCGUUAAUCGGAAUUACUGGGCGUAAAGCGCACGCAGGCGGUCUGUCAAGUCGGAUGUGAAAUCCCCGGGCUUAACCUGGGAACUGCAUUCGAAACUGGCAGGCUAGAGUCUUGUAGAGGGGGGUAGAAUUCCAGGUGUAGCGGUGAAAUGCGUAGAGAUCUGGAGGAAUACCGGUGGCGAAGGCGGCCCCCUGGACAAAGACUGACGCUCAGGUGCGAAAGCGUGGGGAGCAAACAGGAUUAGAUACCCUGGUAGUCCACGCCGUAAACGAUGUCGAUUUGGAGGUUGUGCCCUUGAGGCGUGGCUUCCGGAGCUAACGCGUUAAAUCGACCGCCUGGGGAGUACGGCCGCAAGGUUAAAACUCAAAUGAAUUGACGGGGGCCCGCACAAGCGGUGGAGCAUGUGGUUUAAUUCGAUGCAACGCGAAGAACCACGGUCUUGACAUCCACAGAACUUUCCAGAGAUGGAUUGGUGCCUUCGGGAACUGUGAGACAGGUGCUGCAUGGCUGUCGUCAGCUCGUGUUGUGAAAUGUUGGGUUAAGUCCCGCAACGAGCGCAACCCUUAUCCUUUGUUGCCAGCGGUCCGGCCGGGAACUCAAAGGAGACUGCCAGUGAUAAACUGGAGGAAGGUGGGGAUGACGUCAAGUCAUCAUGGCCCUUACGACCAGGGCUACACACGUGCUACAAUGGCAUAUACAAAGAGAAGCGACCUCGCGAGAGCAAGCGGACCUCAUAAAGUAUGUCGUAGUCCGGAUUGGAGUCUGCAACUCGACUCCAUGAAGUCGGAAUCGCUAGUAAUCGUAGAUCAGAAUGCUACGGUGAAUACGUUCCCGGGCCUUGUACACACCGCCCGUCACACCAUGGGAGUGGGUUGCAAAAGAAGUAGGUAGCUUAACCUUCGGGAGGGCGCUUACCACUUUGUGAUUCAUGACUGGGGUGAAGUCGUAACAAGGUAACCGUAGGGGAACCUGCGGUUGGAUCACCUCCUU
rnacentral:rRNA from 1 species